ACCUAGGGCCAUACCACCCUGAACGCGUGGGGUCUCCUCUGAUCUCGGAAGCUAAGCAGGGUCGGGCUUGGUUAGUACUUGGAUGGGAUUCCGCCUGGGAAUACCGAGUGCUGUAGGCU
rnacentral:rRNA from 1 species